CCAAAUAUAUGCUGAGAUUUUGAAGUUAAAAUACUCUCCCAAAAUUUAUUCAAGCACCCAUCAUAUUUACUUCAUCUUUAAAACCUUCGAUUCUUCAUAUACUUCGUUAUAUACACAAGGUUUUAAACCCCGAGGCUUCGUACCACCCAGCCUAGCCAAAUCUCGCCUAGAUCAUUUUCAUUCCACUCUAUUUGUCCUCCCGAAGGGCUGCCCAAAGUUCGUGUGCAAAUCCAAAAUCCGGUCGAACCUCCGACGAAUUUUUCCGGCGAACUUUUCGUAAGUGGUUAUUUUAGCUUCGUUUUUACUCGUGUCUUAACCGACCAUUUUUGACAAAGGGCUUUUGAACAAAAAUAUUCUUUUCAUCUUUAAAGCUCUCUUUGUUUACAAAACGCACGAGUUAGCCACUCGUUAUAUAUUUGUGCGUGUGUUUUGUCCCGGAACCUAACUCGUAUCCUUUGAGAUUUCCUCACCAAACACUUUGGAGGGAUCUUUGCCUUGGCACGGAAAGCCGGAUAUAAGGCCAAAGGUAUUAAGUUAGUUAUUGUUGUGCGUGUUAUCCGUGAUUAACCGUUAUAUCCCUACGCCCAACAUACCCUUCUUGUUUUAGUGAGACACCCAUUUUUCAGCCCUGUGCUCGGUGGGGAUAUCAUUAAGAUAAGUUACGUGGUUCCCGAUCCCGUGUGUGUGAGUGUGAUUAUCGACUGCGUCUUAUAUCUAUAAAUCACUCGACACUAAUUAAUCAUAACUCUCGUAGCGUGCCCGUACGUGGCUUGCUCAGGUUAUUAAAAUCAACUAUUUAUAUUUUCCGCGCGAUAUAAAUUGUUGGACUAAUCACCAUUAGUGUUGUUAUAAUCGAGGAACCUUAUACCUGACCGUGAUUAUUGGACUGACUUAGCGGACUAAAAUCUUAUUAAAACAAGGACAUAUAUUUCGUAGAUAUUGUAUUCUAACUUUUGCAGUGAGGUGAAGUGAAGUGAGGUGAUCUUCGUUCUAAGACCCAAGUCCUUGAUGUAUUGACGGGGAGUUAAUAGUCAUUGCACCGUGAAGAAGAGGAAAGACCCGAGAUCUAAUACCUAAGACCCGAGAUCGGCAAAAGGUGUAGAAGUACAAAGACUACACAAGGUUCUACAUCGACUUUGAGGAAGUAACGGGGAGUUACGUUCCAAGACAAGCUUUGUAGGUGUUUUUACAUUUAUAGUGAGGAGGUAACGGGAACUUACGCUCCAAGAUAUAUAUUUGUAAAGGCUUCUCCGCCUACUUUAAAGGAGUAUCUUUAUAGUAGAGAAAAUCUUGAGUCCAGUGAGNNNNNNNNNNNNNNNNNNNNNNNNNNNNNNNNACCUAAGACCCGAGACCGACAAAAGGUGUAGAAAUACAAAGACUACACAAGGUUCUACAUCGACUUUGAGGAAGUAAUGGGGAGUUACGUUCCAAGACAAGCUUUGUAGGUGUUUUUACAUUUAUAGUGAGGAGGUAACGGGAACUUACGCUCCAAGAUAUAUAUUUGUAAAGGCUUCUCCGCCUACUUUAAAGGAGUAUCUUUUUAGUAGAGAAAAUCUCGAGUCCGGGGAGGAGCUCGGGGACUGGACUAGGGGUGAGUGGACUCCAUCGGUUGAGUUAGCCACCGCGAACCAGGAUAAAAUCCCUCGUGUGGUAUUUUU
rnacentral:lncRNA from 1 species